UCCGACCACCAGGUGCUGCGGGGAAAAGUUUGCGGGGCUCGGUUGUCCCGGCAGCCCGGGGCGCUCACGGGAGGUGCCCACCCUGCAGGCGCCUGUAUUCCUACGGCCUUGGGAAGGUAAAACUCGGGUCCAAGUCACUUCCCUGCUCCCAUCUGACAGAAGUUUCCAGGCUAUGAGCUGAGAAUUGAGGUAUUUUGAGGCAUCCAGCUCAGAGAAAUUGGGUUCUCAGAAAUAAAUGUGUAUUUGUAAAAUAUUUCCUUACUUCCUUAAGGACAAGGAAUGGCAAAGAACGAAGCUAUGCAGGUGUGAUGUGAAAAACACCCUGUAUUAUCUAGCAGCAAUAUGAAAUCUAAGACUAUCUGGAGCUCUGAUAACACGUUUAUGUACAUUUUAUCUUGAAGUUCAGGUCUGGAUGUAUGGUUCAUUUGUAAAGAAAUCCUAACUAUGUUCAAGGCCAAAGUUCUCAAUGCAUGUCUUGAGAGACUAGACAUAUGGGCCUUACUUUUAUGUUAUUUGUUAUUCUCUUAGUUUCCUUAAGGUAAGGAAUGAUAAAACUAUCAAGCUACCUUGUUCUGUAUGAGUAAUCUGUUUUCUAUAUUCUUUACAUAUUGAUACAGAUAUUUACUGGUUAUUUCCCACUUGGACCUUUGCCAGUGGGAAUUCCUAAUUUAUUUCUUACUUCUGCUCCUUCUUGCCUAAUAUUUCCUGAUUAUUUCCUCUACCACUAUAUCUAAUGCUAAGCUGGCCUUGUAGCAAUGAGUCCUAAUCAUAAUUAUUGAACACAAACCAAUAUUGAUUGAAGUUAAUUCUACUGUUACUUUAUGGAGUCUAAGAUGUCCUGAAUGAUUUAGAUGAUAAAGCUGUUCUGAUCAAUGACCAUUAACAGUUACUAGUAACAAUUAAUGCCUAUGUAUAAAAAUCUAUGUAAGCCACUAGGUAAGUUCCUCCAUGCUGGUAGUAGCUGAUUGCCAACAGUACCAGAUUUGGGGUGCCCACCCUACACUUCAGCUGAGUAUCUCCUAGUAGGUAGCCCUGGCUCCACAUGUGCUGUGGAAAUAGUUUGUGUAUCACCAGUGCUACAAAAGUCACAGCUUGGGAGGCUCUGCUGUAGUAAAUGCAUAUUGUCUGUAUUACAAAUACAGGUGUCAAUGGUUGGAGACUGUAAGUAAAUGCACCUGGUAUCUGUGCAGCAUGCAAUUUUCAACUUGAAAGGAAACAUGCCUGGUGAAGAAUGAUACUGUUUUGUUCUUUGAGUAACAUCUGAUACUGCUGGAAGUAUAUCAGUGUAUUACCAACUGUGCCACACCAGCAUGCACAACAUGAGAAAAUUCCACUCCUGAAGUGCUGUUCAACAGAACCAGGAUUUUAAACUAGUUUCCUGCUUCAGUAUUCCCUGGAGCCAGGAUAAAGAAUUUGAGCAAUUCAAGGACUGUAGAGAAGGAACUUCUGAGUUACAGGAACUCUGCCACAUCCUCAGAGGUACCAGAUUCUGUCGGGAAACAUUGUUCUUCUUCUGAAUGUUCAGUUUUGGGAUUGCUGAGUCAGGCUGGUCUCAACAUUCUUCACUACCAGUGUGACUUGCAUGAGCUGUGAACCUCAUGAAGUUCAGUGAGGCUACGUACAAGGUCCUGCAGGGAAAUCCAACCAAAGGUUAGGCAGGGGGUGGAUCAAGAGCAGCCAGCCCGGGAGGAAGGACUUGGACAAGCACAAUAUGACCUGGUUAUGCGCGCUCCCAGCCCAGAAAUGCAAAUGUAUCCCAGGCUGCAUCCAGAGCAGCGUGGCCAGCAGGUCAAAGGUGAGACUGCACCUGCAGUACUGCAUCCAGGUCUGGGGUCCCCAGAACAAGAAGGAUGUGGAUCUGUUAAAGCGAGUCCAGAGAAGGUGAGCAGAUGGCUGGAGCACCUCUCCUAUGAAGACACACUCAGGGAAUUGGAGCUGUUCAGCCUGGAAAAGAGAAGACUUCAAGGCACCUUGCUGUACCUGGAGGGAACCUACAGGAAAGCUGGAGAGAGAUUUUUUAUGAGAGUGUGUAGCGACAGAACAAGGUGGAAUGGCUUCAAACUGAAAGACAGUAGAUUUAAAUUAGAUAUUUGGAAUAAAUUCUUUACUUCAAGGGUGGUGUGGCACUGGAACACUUUGCCCAGGGAAGUCAUAGAUGUCCAUCCCUGAAAGUGUUCAAGGCCAGACUGGAUGGAGUUUUGAGCAACCUGGGCUAGUGGAAGGUGUCCCUGCCUGUGGAAGUGGGGUUGGAACUGGAUGAUCUUUGAGGUCUCUUCUAACCCAGGCUAUUCUGUGAUGCUGUGAAAUGAAUCAGGUCAAGAACAUGUUUUCAAGCCUAGCUGAAAAGCUUCUGUGUCUGUGUACCUGUGUCACUAAGUGUGCUGGUUUUGGCUGGAAAAGGGUAAUUUUCUUCAUAGUAGCUGGUAUGGGCUAAAUAAUGGAUUUGUGCUGGAAACAGUGUUGCUAAUUCAGGGAUAUUUUUGAUUUUGAUAAGAAGUGCUUACACAAAGUCAAGGCCUUUUCUGUUUCUCACCCCACCCCACCAGCAAAUGGGCCGGAGGUGCACAAGAAAUUAGAAAGGGGACACAACCAGGACAGUCAACCCCAACUGAACAAAGGGAUAUUCUGUACUAUAUGGCAUCAUACUCAGCACAUGAAGUUGGGGAGAGAGAAGGAAGAAGGGGUUUAACAAGUAGAAAAGAAAAAAAUACUUGGCAUAAUUUAAGAAAACUUGGAGAGGUGACACUGGUACACUUUUUAAUUUUUUUAUGCCAAUUUAGUAAUGAGGACAAUGGAGAUGCUUCUUAAGACAUCAUUUAAAAAGAGAUCUGGAAGGGCUUUCCAGUUUAUCCUCUUGCUUCAGAGCAGAAUCCACUCUAUCUAAUCAGGUCUUGAUAGAUAUUUGGUCAAUCUGACCUUGAAAAUUUGCAGUUAUGCUGAUUCUUCAGAUUUCUCCAGUCACUGUGUAACAUUCUUUACAGUUCAAAAACUUUUUGUAAAAUAUAACUGAAAUCUUCAAUAUGCAAUGUAAGGCUUUUACUUCUUACCAUAUCAAUGGACAUGAAAAACACUUUGUAUCUCUCCAAUACUUUCUACACAUUUGAGAACUGAUAUAUCUUUCUUCAAUCCUCUCAUUGCUAGACUAAAGAAAUUAAUUCUUUCAAUCCUAUCUCAUGUCACAUUUCCUAUACCUCUGCAAAUUACAUGGUUCUACUGUGGUUUCUUCAUUGGAGAGAAAUCACAAGAUUUCUUCAUUGUUUGUUGUAGUUUUUUUUACAGAAUGUUGCUUUUAAUAGGUUGUUUUCUGGUAAAACCACAUUACUACUUAUUUAUCACUGCAGGAUUGUGGAAUAAUUUAAUUUGCAGGGGAUCAUAGGAAGUCCCUAGUCCAACCCUCUGCUGAAACCAGGGUCAGCUAUGAGUUCAGAUCAGACUCGAUCCCGUUGGAUUUUGAAAACCUGCAAGAGCAGGGAUUUUACAAGCUCUAUGGACAACCAGUUCCACAGCAUGACUGACAUGUGGUGAAAAUAUUUUCCUGUGAAUUUAGCUUGAACCUUUCACAUUUUAAUUUAUUCCUGUUACUUGUCACUCUCUCACCAUACAGCAAUCUGAGGAGUCUGGCUCCAUUUUCUUGAUAAUUUCCUCUUGGCUAUGUAUAGAUGCUUAGGAAUACUUACUAUUACUGUUGUUGUUGUUGUUAUUGGUAGUAGAGGAGUAGUAGUAGUUAAAAGGCAAAUAACUACCUUUCCUGAAUCCCUGAAUUUUGAACUCUCCCUUUUUUCCAUUGGUGUGCUUGACAAUUCCUCUCUUAUUUAACUUACAUGUUCCUUAUUUAGAGAGCAAAUGAAACAUUUGCUUUCUUAAUAGAGUACUAGUAGAGAAUGGUUACAGGUUCUAGCAGGCUGACAUAAUUUAGAACAUUUAAUUUAUCCAAGUUGUCUUUAUCUGUUGUUUUCCUUUUCUACCUAGAUGUCUUAGUCUGUUCUUUAACUUACAAAGGAAAGCAAGGCAUCCCACACAAGCAUUUGCAGAAGUCAAAGCAAGGAGGUAAAGAAGGAGACAUUAGGAAACAUUUCUUUACCAAGAGGGUGGGCAAAUGCUGGAACAGGGUUCGUAGGAGGUCAGCCCCCAAGUCUGACUAUGUUUAAGGGGCAUUUGGACUAUGCCCUUAACAACACACUUGAACUUUCAGUCAGCCCUGAGUAGAUCAGGCAGUUGGACUACAUGCCAUUGUUGGUCCCUUCCAACUGAAAUAUUCCAUUCUAUUCCAUGUUCUCAUUGUGUCAGCCACCAUAAUAUGCAAGUCAAGUAAUCUGUUUAAAGGCAAGUACUCUGAAUUAAGUUGAAGAUCUCAUUGACUGCUGAACUUUGAUUUGGGACUUGAGAGUCUAUGGCUGUAAAGAUCAACUCUCAAAAAAUCUCAACUAUGCACAUAGUUCCUAGUGCUUUAAUAUAGAUUGUGUAGAUGUGUUGUCUUUAUUAAAAUAUACAUGAUUGGGAGUGGAAUCAUAGAAUGGUUUGGGUUGCAAGGGACCCUAAAGGUCAUCUGGUUCCAACCCUCUUGCCAUGCGUGGGUACACACUAGAUCAGGUUGCUCAAAGCCCCAUCCAGCGUGGUCUCAAACACAAUCAGGGAUGGGGAGUCCAAAACCUCUCUGGGGUAAAUUUUAUGUAGACACAGAGAGGGUCAAUCCAUACAUUUCUGAGAAAUGUAUGAGUACCUUAUAUGGAUGAAAUAAAAUUGGAAUGCCAGAUAUUUUUUAAUUUAUUUAUCCACAGGCUACUGAAAAUUUUGGAAAAUACUGGAAUGGAAUAGCUCCAAGAAGAUUUGGGGUGUUUAGACUUUCUCAAUAAAUCCUUUAUGAUCAAAUUAUACUUAUAUAUAUAAUUAUACUAAAACUUGCUCCUAAUGCUGCACUUAUCAUUCUAAAAGAAAAGAUAGAGAAGUAUAUAAUUUCACUGCUAGAAAGCCAAGACUGGAAAAUACAGGUUUAUCAUAUGGCCAAAAAAAAAAAAAAAAAAAAGUUGAAAAACAAAAGGAAUAGCUGUAAAAUUUGUGCACUGUGCAGCUCGAAGCAAGUUCUAAAGCUUUCUGUGUUUAUUUUUUAUUGGGGAGAAUGUUUCAGGAUAAAGUAAAUACAUUAUAUAAUACAAAAGUACAUCUGCCAGCAUUAAUAGACCAGCAGGAUGACUGAUAGGCAUAGUAAGAAAAACAUGAGAUUAUGGCUUAUGCUUGAAUUAGUGCAACCCCUAUGCAUUACUAUCAAUGCAGUAACUGCAAUCAGCUAGAGAGUAACUGCCCAUUCCCUAAUUCUGCUGGAUCUACUUAGUAGUAAUGACUUGGAUUCCUAUUCCAGACCUUAUUUCGUUUGACAUACUAUAGCUUAUCUGCUAUGAAGACCAUGUCGUGUUUGAAAAUGCCUCUUAGGUGGAUCUCUUAAGCCUCUCAUAUUAACUCAGUUCUUACAUACUUAGUUAAAUGCGGUUUCCAAAUAAAAAAAAAAAAAUUAUUUCAGAGACACACAGGUACUCUCAUGCCUCACAGUCAGCAUGUGAAGUUCCAAGGCAAACGUGGAAGCAAAUGUAUUUAAGAUAUACUGGAUCUCUAUGUGUUUGUGUAAAUUUAUUUGUCUUCCAGACAUUGCAAACUAACAGCUUGUUUACAAAUCAACUGAUUAACACACUUGCACUGAAAUUCUUGCACUGCAAACCUGGUGAUUUUCUGAGCAUACAAGCCUUGAGUUGCAUGGCUUUUGUGAGGGAAAAGCAUCACAGUGCACAUCAGCUACAGAGAAAACCUGUGCAUGCACGCUGUCUGGGUUCAGUAGAUAUUUGGAAGCUUUCUUGGAAUUACUGCACUGCACUGCCUGCAUAACAUCUGGAAGUCAGAGAAAAAUGGUAAAGAAGUAGAAAAGUGGUAGGGAAGAAAAUGACUAGUAAAGCAGCUGUCUCCCAUAAAAAUGGUAGUAUGGCAUUCUGGACUAUAAUAGGAUUUGAGAAAGGCAUCAAUCUGGGACAGAGCACAGCUGAUUUAAGAAGCUUCAGAAAUUGUUUUCCUUCAGAGGACUGUAAAAAAGGCUAGUGAAUCAGUCUGAAAAAAUUACAUUUAGUGAAAUGCGUGACUAAACUAAGUGCAGAUUAUUAACUUGAAAUUUAAAAGUUUGAGUAUCAGCUCUAAGAAGAGAGCCUCUUAUGUGAGCAGAAAUAUCUGACCAAUGAUAUUCCACAUUUCCAAACUUCUGUCAGCUUCUCAGUUUAUAAAAUCCCCAACUUUCUCUUUCCCAACCAUCUGUCAGCACUCCUAGAUUUUCCCUUGAUAACUUCUACAUUGUGGUUGUUCAUCAUACCAAAAUCAGCACAAAAUCCAGUUGCUACACAGUCUUGAACCUUGAAUGUGUUCAUGUUAAAAAAAGUAAACUUAUUGUAAUAUAAAAUAAAUAAAGAAUACUCAUGUGA